AGCGAACGCUGGCGGCAGGCUUAACACAUGCAAGUCGAGCGGGCAUCCUUGUGGUGUCAGCGGCAGACGGGUGAGUAACGCGUGGGAACGUGCCCUUCGGUUCGGAAUAACUCAGGGAAACUUGAGCUAAUACCGGAUACGCUCUUUUGGGGAAAGGUUUACUGCCGAAGGAUCGGCCCGCGUCUGAUUAGCUAGUUGGUGAGGUUAUGGCUCACCAAGGCGACGAUCAGUAGCUGGUCUGAGAGGAUGAUCAGCCACACUGGGACUGAGACACGGCCCAGACUCCUACGGGAGGCAGCAGUGGGGAAUAUUGGACAAUGGGGGCAACCCUGAUCCAGCCAUGCCGCGUGAGUGAUGACGGCCUUAGGGUUGUAAAGCUCUUUUCUCCGGGACGAUAAUGACGGUACCGGAGGAAUAAGCCCCGGCUAACUUCGUG
rnacentral:rRNA from 1 species